AAACAUAUUUGGUUAAAAAAGGUACUUUCUUACCAUUUGCUUCUUCAUGAGGGUUGAGGACUAAACUGAGCAUGUGCACACAAGGUGCACCUGUGUAAUGAUCAUGCUGUUUAAUCAGCUUCUUGAUAUGCCACACCUGUUUGGUGGAUGGAUGAUCUUGGCAGAGUUAAAAUGCUCACAAACAGGACCUGAGCCCUAGGACCAUGCCCCAGGACUACCUGACAUGAUGACUCCUUGCUGUCCCCAGUCCACCUGGCCGUGCUGCUGCUCCAGUUUCAACUGUUCUGCCUUAUUAUUAUUCGACCAUGCUGGUCAUUUAUGAACAUUUGAACAUCUUGGCCAUGUUCUGUUAUAAUCUCCACCCAGCACAGCCAGAAGAGGACUGGCCACCCCACAUAUGCUCUCUCUAAUUCUCUCUUUCUUUCUCUCUCUCGGAGGACCUGAGCCCUAGGACCAUGCCCCAGGACUACCUGACAUGAUGACUCCUUGCUGUCCCCAGUCCACCUGGCCGUGCUGCUGCUCCAGUUUCACCUGUUCUGCCUUAUUAUUAUACGACCAUGCUGGUCAUUUAUGAACAUUUGAACAUCUUGGCCAUGUUCUGUUAUAAUCUCCACCCAGCACAGCCAGAAGAGGACUGGCCACCCCACAUAGCCUGGUUCCUCUCUAGGUUUCUUCCUAGGUUUUGGCCUUUCUAGGGAGUUUUUCCUAGCCACCGUGCUUCUACACCUGCAUUGCUUGCUGUUUGGGGUUUUAGGCUGGGUUUCUGUACAGCACUUUGAGAUAUCAGCUGAUGUACGAAGGGCUAUAUAAAUACAUUUGAUUUGAUUUGAUUUUGAUUUGAAUUAUAAUCCACAUAAUUCACAUUUCUUGUUGCUACAGGAUUAUUUUCAUGCUGUAUCAAACUGGCUCAAAUUGAGAUCCUACAUCCAUUUGUGUAUUUAUAAAUGAUUGAUACAGUGCCUUCAGAAAGUAUUCCCACCCCUUGACUUUUUCAACAUUUUGUUGUGUUACAGCCUGAAUUUAAAAUGGAUUAAAUUGAG
ensembl:lncRNA